rnacentral:rRNA from 1 species
UACCCUGGUAGUCCACGCCGUAAACGAUGAGUGCUAAGUGUUAGGGGGUUUCCGCCCCUUAGUGCUGCAGCUAACGCAUUAAGCACUCCGCCUGGGGAGUACGACCGCAAGGUUGAAACUCAAAGGAAUUGACGGGGGCCCGCACAAGCGGUGGAGCAUGUGGUUUAAUUCGAAGCAACGCGAAGAACCUUACCAGGUCUUGACAUCCUUUGACCACUCUGGAGACAGAGCUUUCCCUUCGGGGACAAAGUGACAGGUGGUGCAUGGUUGUCGUCAGCUCGUGUCGUGAGAUGUUGGGUUAAGUCCCGCAACGAGCGCAACCCUUGAUUUUAGUUGCCAGCAUUUAGUUGGGCACUCUAAAGUGACUGCCGGUGCAAGCCGGAGGAAGGUGGGGAUGACGUCAAAUCAUCAUGCCCCUUAUGACCUGGGCUACACACGUGCUACAAUGGAUAGUACAAAGGGUCGCGAAGCCGCGAGGUGGAGCUAAUCCCAUAAAACUAUUCUCAGUUCGGAUUGUAGGCUGCAACUCGCCUACAUGAAGCCGGAAUCGCUAGUAAUCGUGGAUCAGCAUGCCACGGUGAAUACGUUCCCGGGCCUUGUACACACCGCCCGUCACACCACGAGAGUUUGUAACACCCGAAGUCGGUAGGGUAACCUUUAUGGAGCCAGCCGCCGAAGGUGGGACAGAUAAUUGGGGUGAAGUCGUAACAAGGUAGCCGUAUCGGAAGGUGCGGCUGGAUCACCUCCUUU